UACGUAGGGUGCAAGCGUUAAUCGGAAUUACUGGGCGUAAAGCGUGCGCAGGCGGUCGUGUAAGACAGAUGUGAAAUCCCCGGACUCAACCUGGGAACUGCAUUUGUGACUGCACGGCUGGAGUGCGGCAGAGGGGGAUGGAAUUCCGCGUGUAGCAGUGAAAUGCGUAGAUAUGCGGAGGAACACCGAUGGCGAAGGCAAUCCCCUGGGCCUGCACUGACGCUCAUGCACGAAAGCGUGGGGAGCAAACAGG
rnacentral:rRNA from 1 species